rnacentral:rRNA from 1 species
UUGGACAAUGGGGGCAACCCUGAUCCAGCCAUGCCGCGUGUGUGAAGAAGGUCUGCGGNAUUUAANGNCCUUUAAGUCGGGAGGANGGGCUUUAGGUUAAUACCCUGAAGUUUUGACGUUACCAACAGAAUAAGCACCGUCUAACUCUGUGCCAGCAGCCGCGGUAAUACAGAGGGUGCAAGCGUUAAGCGGAAUUACUGGGCGUAAAGCGCGCGUAGGUGGUUCAGUAAGAUGGGUGUGAAAUCCCCGGGCUUAACCUGGGAACUGCUUUCAUAACUGCUGAGCUAGAGUACGGUAGAGGGUAGUGGAAUUUCCUGUGUAGCGGUGAAAUGCGUAGAUAUAGGAAGGAACACCAGUGGCGAAGGCGACUACCUGGACUGAUACUGACACUGAGGUGCGAAAGCGUGGGGAGCAAACA